ensembl:lncRNA
ACCGACGUCAUUGUGAACACAACAGGAGAUAAUCUUUGUCCAUCAAAUGGAGAAGUUUCCAAAGUCAUCCUGAAGAAGGCGGGCAGCAAAAUGCAACAAGAAAUUAACAGUAAGUAUAAAAAAGCAAAGGCAUCCCUUCCCCUUGUGUUGGAGACAAACUCCUAUGGUCUUGGUUGUAAACAGGUGUAUCACACUUUGGUUCCUGUAAAAGGUGUGGACUGGGCUGGAGAGAUCCUCAACAAUGCAAUGCAAUUAUGUUUAAGUCUGGCGAACGCUGAGAGACACAAGUCAAUUGCCUGUCCGGCUAUCGGCACUGGCCAUCUGGGCUUCACUAAACAGGAGGUGGCCCAAUUAUGACCAAGGCAGUGGAAGACAGUGCCCAGAAGAUGCCAGCAAAGAUGGAGGUUGACUUUGUCAAAUAUCCUCCUGAAAAUGACAGAUAAAUGGCCUUUGAAGCUAAAAUAAGAGGGCUCCAGGGACAGAGCUCUCCCGGCUCUGAUACUGGGCUAUCACGGGGGAAUUAGUGCUUUGAUCGAAGCAAACGAGGAGGCCAAGAGUUGGCUGGAGGAACUCCUCCGUUGCUCCGGCACAGCAACGGUCAACAAUAACUUCAUCCAGUACCUCGGCAUGGAAGAUCUCCACCAGCUGAACAGCGGCGCUGCAUCGGCCACUUUUUUGAUUGAGGAGUUCUUCGAGAUGGGCUGUGCAAAAAUAAAAGUCCAGGCGGAGUCGUCGAAAGAUGUCAUUGUGCAUGUGUUGAAGGCAGAGACCUUGCUCUGUGCCGUCCAGAAGGAGUUUGCGAGAG